rnacentral:rRNA from 2 species
GUGACAUACCACUUGUUGCCUCGGCGGAUCAGCCCGCUCCCGGUAAAACGGGACGGCCCGCCAGAGGACCCCUAAACUCUGUUUCUAUAUGUAACUUCUGAGUAAAACCAUAAAUAAAUCAAAACUUUCAACAACGGAUCUCUUGGUUCUGGCAUCGAUGAAGAACGCAGCAAAAUGCGAUAAGUAAUGUGAAUUGCAGAAUUCAGUGAAUCAUCGAAUCUUUGAACGCACAUUGCGCCCGCCAGUAUUCUGGCGGGCAUGCCUGUUCGAGCGUCAUUUCAACCCUCAAGCACAGCUUGGUGUUGGGACUCGCGUUAAUUCGCGUUCCCCAAAUUGAUUGGCGGUCACGUCGAGCUUCCAUAGCGUAGUAGUAAAACCCUCGUUACUGGUAAUCGUCGCGGCCACGCCGUUAAACCCCAACUUCUGAAUGUUGACCUCGGAUCAGGUAGGAAUACCCGCUGAACUUAAGCAUAUC